UCCGUAGGCGGUGUGGCAAGUCGGUAGUGAAAUCUCUCGGCUUAACUGAGAGGCUGCUGCCGAAACUGCCAUGCUCGAGUGCGAGAGAGGCGAGUGGAAUUGCGGGUGUAGCGGUGAAAUGCGUAGAUAUCCGCAGGAACAUCCGAGGCGAAAGCGGCUCGCUGGAUCGCAACUGACGCUGAGGGACGAAAGCUAGGGGAGCAAACAGGAUUAGAUACCCUGGUAGUCCUAGCCCUAAACCAUCAGGACUUGGGGUUUGCCCUGUACGGGGCAAGCCCCGGAGCUAACGCGUUAAGUCCUGCGCCUGGGAGUACGGUCGCAAGGCUAGAA
rnacentral:rRNA from 1 species